AGAGUGAACGCUGGCGGUAGGCCUAACACAUGCAAGUCGAACGGCAGCACAGUAAGAGCUUGCUCUUAUGGGUGGCGAGUGGCGGACGGGUGAGGAAUACAUCGGAAUCUACCUUUUCGUGGGGGAUAACGUAGGGAAACUUACGCUAAUACCGCAUAAGACCUUCGGGUGAAAGCCGGGGACCUUCGGGCCUGGCGCGGAUAGAUGAGCCGAUGUCGGAUUAGCUUGUUGGCGGGGUAAAAGCCCACCAAGGCGACGAUCCGUAGCUGGUCUGAGAGGAUGAUCAGCCACACUGGAACUGAGACACGGUCCAGACUCCUACGGGAGCAGCAGUGGGGAAUAUUGGACAAUGGGGCG
rnacentral:rRNA from 1 species